rnacentral:rRNA from 1 species
ACAUGCAAGUCGAGCGGCAGCACGGGGAGCUUGCUCCCUGGUGGCGAGCGGCGGACGGGUGAGUAAUGCAUAGGAAUCUGCCCGGUAGUGGGGGAUAACGUGGGGAAACCCACGCUAAUACCGCAUACGUCCUACGGGAGAAAGCGGAGGAUCUUCGGACUUCGCGCUAUCGGAUGAGCCUAUGUCGGAUUAGCUAGUUGGUAAGGUAACGGCUUACCAAGGCGACGAUCCGUAGCUGGUCUGAGAGGAUGAUCAGCCACACUGGGACUGAGACACGGCCCAGACUCCUACGGGAGGCAGCAGUGGGGAAUAUUGGACAAUGGGCGAAAGCCUGAUCCAGCCAUGCCGCGUGUGUGAAGAAGGCUUUCGGGUUGUAAAGCACUUUCAGCGAGGAAGAAAGCCUCUGGGUUAAUACCCCAGAGGAAGGACAUCACUCGCAGAAGAAGCACCGGCUAACUCCGUGCCAGCAGCCGCGGUAAUACGGAGGGUGCGAGCGUUAAUCGGAAUUACUGGGCGUAAAGCGCGCGUAGGUGGCUUGGCACGCCGGUUGUGAAAGCCCCGGGCUCAACCUGGGAACGGCAUCCGGAACGGCCAGGCUAGAGUGCAGGAGAGGAAGGUAGAAUUCCCGGUGUAGCGGUGAAAUGCGUAGAGAUCGGGAGGAAUACCAGUGGCGAAUGCGGCCUUCCGGCCGUA